CAACAUGGCGCUGUCCAUGGACUAUGUCAUCAAAUGGUUUGAGUGAUAUUUUCCUACGAGUGCCAUCUAUUUCUAUGAUACUUAGUUAAUAUUGUACAAGAGCUUAUGCAGAGGCAUUAGAUCGUUAUUCAAUUGAUUGUAUUCGUAGUUUUUUUUCCAUCGUCAAAGACUAUUGAUCAAGUGUCCACCUAUUGAUCAAACGUGUGGACUCGCAGUCGAGAGAGGAUGAGAUGGUUUCCAGAGCUGUUUGCCCAGUGUACUGGUGGGGCUGCAGUUUAUGGGAAGUGUGUGACUGCUUCCACCACAGGCAGACAGGAGCUGACAAAGGACCUGUGUGUUAGUUUGAUGCUCUGAAGGCGUGCUUUGUUACAGCAGCCAAGAAGGCCAUUCUGCCCAACAUAACCAGGCAAUGGACCCAAUGUCCCCCCCCAUGUUGUUAUCUUCAACAUAACCAGGCAAUGGACCCAAUAUGUUGCAUCUUCAACAUAACCAGGCAAUGGACCCAAUGUCCCUCCAUGUUCCAUGAACAUCAUGUAGUACUGUAUCAGUAAUGUGCUGGCAGGUGCUGAAAGACUUCUUGUCUAGUCUCACCUGUUUAAAAUUGGUUCCAGGGGUAAUGCCAAGACAGCGUUUGGACAACACUCUUUUCAAUAAUGCUUCAAUGUCAUACUGUGUGACUAUGUACUAACAUGUAGCCCACUACCGGAGACUUGUAGGACUGUGUCUUUAUAAUAUGUCCUUUAUGGCUCAGUUGGUAGAGCAUGGCGCUUGCAAUGGCAGGAUUGUGGAUUUGUGUCCUGGGGUCACUGAUACGUAAAAUGUAUGCACAGCACGGAUGACUAAGUCGAUUUGGAUAAAAGCGUCUGCUAAAUGGAAUAUUGUUAUGUAAAUACAUGUGUGUAUGGGGUCGCUUUUGUUCAUGUACACACACAUUUUAUUUUACCAGGUAGGCAAGUUGAGAACAAGUUCUCAUUUACAAUUGCGACCUGGCCAAGAUAAAGCAAAGCAGUUCGACACAUACAACACAGAGUUACACAUGGAAUAAACAGUCAAUAAUACAGUAGAAAAAUAAGUCUAUAUAGUUGACAACUGAAUAUUUUGCACAUUUUCAAAAAAUACAAUGAGUUGAAAGCUUUACAGAAAAAAACUUAUUCUAAAGAAGCCAUGAGCAGUUAUGAAGCCACUAUUGAUGUCCUCUCUCUGUGGAGUCCAUUUCAUUCACUGUCCUUAUAGUAGCCACAGCACAGUGCACCAUUGUAGAAGUCAAAGCCACUGUUUCAAAUGCUACAAGAACAGAGAGAUGACAAUUCAAUCGCAUAAAUAAACCACCUGUA